rnacentral:lncRNA from 10 species
GACAGGGUCUCCGAAGGCUUCACCAGUCCUGGGCCCGACUCCUGCAGCUGCACCUGGGACAGGACCCCUGUGAACAGAGAGAACCACGACUCUCUUGGAUGUCCAGAUUUGAACACGUGGAGUGUUGAUGGAACUCAUGAUAACUAGGAACUUUUCAGUGAAGGUGUAGGUAACAAUGUGGGUAUAAUUAAAUUCGGUUUAUGAAAAUAUUAUUAUCCGAAAUGUCAAAGUCAGUACCUAUUAAUUUAUCUUUCUUUUGUAUUUACAGGCAAGACUUGUUUUGUUGCCCAGGCUGGAGUGCAGACUCACCUAUUAAUUUUACAGCAUAAAAAUGAUCAGCCCAAUUUAUGUAGUCCUAUUAUCUCUAUCAAGGAUAUUUAGGUCCAUGUGGCCUGCGACAUAGCUCUAGUCACUGAGGGAAAAGCGGUGGUUUGUUGAGUUGAUGCUGCUUCUUCAGAGCGGAAUUUAAACAAUCAACUCCUCACCUCACCCAGUCUAUUUUUACAAUUUUGGAUGACGCUUGGGAAUGCAGUUGCCAUUUCUUACAUAAUGGGAGUUGACUGUGCCGUGAAGGUAACAGGAAGAUGUGUAAAUUUAAAGCCUGGUUACAUAACCUGCUGAAUUUUAAAAGACUAGAGCCAAUCACGUUCUGACAUCUUGUUUAAUUAGUUCUGAAUUUAUCUUUCGUUGGUUACUUCAAGUUCCCCUAAUUCACUUUCUGCUACAGUAGUCACAUACAAUAAUCUUGAUAUAGUAAAAUAAAAAAUAACUAAUUUGAAAAUGAACCCGACUUCCAGGAGAGGUGAACAUUUCUUUGGGGUGAAUGGUGGGAAGGGUGGAGACAUGGUUGAACACUGAGGUUGUGCUCACAAUUGUUUUAUUUUAAUUAGGG